ACUGGUUAAGCAGGCCUGGGCGUGGCUUGUCCGGCACACAGCCGCAGGCUUCACUGUAAAGUGUUGUAACCCCGCCUCCAGGCCGCACCAAAUAUCUGCUCCCUCCCCUCCUCGGUCUGCACUCUGCACCCAGGCCGCCCAUGCUCAGAGGCAGCCAGACAGACAGGCAGCACCACAGCAGCGGAGCUUGGGUGUAGAGCCCGCUGGUGCUGGGCAGCAGAUCCUGACUCCAAUGCCUCCUCAUCUCCCGAGCCGAGACAGAUCAGCCUCCGCCUCCAGCUCAGGGACCUGCGGCAGUGUGGUGCAAUGAAGGGGCAUGCAGCAGUACUGUCAGCGCAGUACUAGCAGGAGGAGGCGGUCCAGCCAAUCCAGCCCCUCUCACCUUUUCUUCCUAUCUCUACCGCUGUUGCCCAAUGUCACGAUCCCACAAAAACCAGAAGAGCGGACCUGCUGGUGCUGAAAGGAGGACCCGUUGCUACCGACACUGAUGAGAAGGGAGACACGCCACUGCCCGAGACAGAAAGAUGACCUGCUCAUGCCCGGAUGGAUAUCAGGAUUCUGGAAUAGCAGAAUAAGGGAAGAUGGGCCAGGGGCCAAUUUAUACUUUCUAUUAACAUAAUCCAAAUGGAAAAUGAACAGGAAACUAUCAUAUGGGAUACCACAUUCUGGGGACGAUGAAUCUUUGGGAGCCAGAGGAGGGAGGAGACAGUAGAAAGGCCCAACCUCUCAGUCUCACUAUCAGCCCAGAAAUUCCCAGCACCAGGGCUACACCAUUGCACAAAGUUGGCAAGUUGUGCAGCAAGACAGUACCUCUUCAAAUUGGGAAUACCCAAACCUCCACUC